rnacentral:tRNA from 1 species
GGGCGUAUAGCUCAGCGGUAGAGCACCUGUCUUACACACAGGCGGUCACAAGUUCAAAUCUUGUUGCGCCCA